rnacentral:rRNA from 1 species
AGAUUAGCCAUGCAUGUGUAAGUAUAAGCGAUUGUACUGUGAGACUGCGAACGGCUCAUUAUAUCAGUAAUAAUUUCUUCGGUAGUUUCUUUUAUAUGGAUACCUGCAGUAAUUCUGGAAAUAAUACAUGCUGUAAGAGCCCUGUAUGGGGCUGCACUUAUUAGAUUGAAGCCGAUUUUAUUGGUGAAUCAUGAUAAUUGAGCAGAUUGACUUUUUUGGUCAAUGAAUCCUUUGAUUUUCUGCCCCAUCAUUUGUCAACGGUAGGGUAUUGGACUACGGGGACUAUAAAGGGGGACGGAAAGUUAGGGCUCGACUCCGGAAAGGGAGCCGGAAAAACGGCUACCAAAUCCAAGGAAAACAGCAGGGCCGUAAAUUACCCCCGGGGGACCCCCCAAGGUAGGGACAAAAAAUAUCGAUGCCAACCGGGGAUGCCUUUUGCUAUCGAAAUGAAAGCAAUGUAAAACCAUCAUCGAGGAUCAACUGGAGGGCAAGUCUGGGGCCAGCACCCCGGUAAUUCCAGCUCCAAACCAUAUGCUAAAGUUUUGCAGUUAAAAGCUCGUAAUGAAUUCGGGCAGGGCACCGUCCUUCCUGAUGGGAUGAUGCGGGUGCUGCAUCUUUCCUGCUUUUGAAAA